rnacentral:rRNA from 1 species
GUAGUCCACGCCCGUAAACGUUGGGCGCCUAGGUUUUGGGAACUUUCCACGUUCUCCGUGCCGCAGCUAACGGCAUUAAGCGCCCCGCCUGGGGAGUACGCCGCAAGGCCUAAAACUCAAAGGAAUUGAGCGGGGGCCCGCACAAGCGCGGAGCAUGUGGCUUAAUUCGACGCAACGCGAAGAACCUUACCAAAGGCUUGACAUGCAGGGAAAUCUCACAGAGAUGUGAGGUCCGCAAGGGUCCUGUACAGGUGGUGCAUGGCUGUCGUCAGCUCGUGUCGUGAGAUGUUGGGUUAAGUCCCGCAACGAGCGCAACCCUCGUUCUAUGUUGCCAGCGCGUAAUGGCGGGGACUCAUAGGAGACUGCCGGGGUCAACUCGGAGGAAGGUGGGGACGACGUCAAGUCAUCAUGCCCCUUAUGUCUUGGGCUGCACACAUGCUACAAUGGCAGGUACAAAGGGCUGCGAAACCGCAAGGUAGAGCGAAUCCCAAAAAGCCUGUCUCAGUUCGGAUUGGGGUCUGCAACUCGACCCCAUGAAGUCGGAGUCGCUAGUAAUCGCAGAUCAGCAACGCUGCGGUGAAUACGUUCCCGGGCCUUGUACACACCGCCCGUCACGUCACGAAAGUCGGUAACAGCCGAAGCCAGUGGCCCAACCCGUAAGGGAGGGAGCUGUCGAAGCUGGGAUCGGCGAUUGGGACGAAGUCGUAACAAGGUAGC